rnacentral:rRNA from 1 species
AGUGAACGCUGGCGGUAGGCCUAACACAUGCAAGUCGAACGGCAGCACAGUAAGAGCUUGCUCUUACGGGUGGCGAGUGGCGGACGGGUGAGGAGUACAUCGGAAUCUACUUUUUCGUGGGGGAUAACGUAGGGAAACUUACGCUAAUACCGCAUACGACCUACGGGUGAAAGCAGGGGAUCUUCGGACCUUGCGCGAUUGAAUGAGCCGAUGUCGGAUUAGCUAGUUGGCGGGGUAAAGGCCCACCAAGGCGACGAUCCGUAGCUGGUCCGAGAGGAUGAUCAGCCACACUGGAACUGAGACACGGUCCAGACUCCUACGGGAGGCAGCAGUGGGGAAUAUUGGACAAUGGGCGCAAGCCUGAUCCAGCCAUACCGCGUGGGUGAAGAAGGCCUUCGGGUUGUAAAGCCCUUUUGUUGGGAAAGAAAAGCAGCAGGUUAAUACCCCGCUGUUCUGACGGUACCCAAAGAAUAAGCACCGGCUAACUUCGUG